rnacentral:miRNA from 1 species
UGACCUUGACCUUUGACCCCAGC